CCAGAUAGGAAAUACAGUCCAAAAUAUCAAGACUCUGGAUUGUCAACAGAUGGACAUAAAAUGCUGCAUGGAAUAAGAACAUUUAUUUGUCUACAUGAAAUUCCAAUCUGCUGACCUCAUCAUCCUGCAAGUCUUCCUCAAGCUGGAGAACCUGCUUAAAAGCAGCUGCUGCCACUCUUUUCCGUUUCUUGAGAAAUUCCUGUUCUUCUGGACAGAGAUCAAACCCCAAGCGUACAUCAGGGCAUGGUGGGCUGUAACAAAGAUGAAUGUAUAUCUUCUUAUCUGAACUUGCAUACUAAUAUGGUGCACACUGAUUCAAGGGCUGAGAUCCUGCAUCAGAGGCUGCAAUUUGCAACAUAUUGAUAAUGUAGCUGGCUAUGCUUCUGGUACAAGUGAAUUGUAGCUAUGCAUAUCAGGGCACCUUGUAAGACACUGUGAUGUUAUGAUUUCAAAGAUGUAGCUGCAACUCUACUCCCCACCUAAGAAUAUGAAAGCUGCACAAAUGCACAGUCCAGCUUUGCAUAAUUGUAAGAGAGUGUGUGUGUGGUGUAGUGGUUUCAGUGCUAGACUAUGACUUGAGACCAGGAUCUGAAUCCCCACUCCGCCAUAAAAACCCACAAGGUGACCUGGGGCAUCAGUCUUUUAGCCUGGGUCAAACAAAAGAUGGGAAGGCGCACAUUUAAAAAAAUCCAGUCUAUAGGGCACAAACAAAAAAAAAGUAUGUUUUCUUCAUGAUGCAUGCCUGGGCUUGGUAAGGAGUGCAAUCAAUGGCUUCUUUUGCCUGAAACCUUGCUUGUUGUGUGUGUGUGUGUGUGUGUGUGUGUGUGUGUGUGUGUAGUUGCAUGGUGUGAAUGAGUGAGGUAUCGGAAGUGGCAAAAAUGUCCUUAGUAGCAUUGCUAUUGAAAACCUAUGGCAUAAAAUAACUGACAAUGGACUCAGAUCAAAAUAAAUAGAUAAAUAUAAUACUUCAAAUGAGAUCACACAAACACUUUCAGCAAAUUAACAUUCAGAUCUCACUUGUGAUAUUGCAGAAACCAAGAACUCUGACAAUAUUUUCUCUGCUUCUAGAAUGACAAGGGGAACAUAAUCUUCAAUUCAGUGAAUCUCAGCAAAGGUAAUGGAAAUAACCUAGCUGCAAAUGAUUUAAAGGCAUUGCUGGGUUAAUCUGUUUCAGAAUAAAAAGACUGGAAAAAGGAAAUUUCUAGCAUAAACACUUGUGGACUCCAGCAUCUUCAUUACGUGCAGAAAGGAGUUCAUGUUAGUCAUGAAGGAAUUCAUCCCAAACUGAAGGGGAAUUGUACAUUUUCUCAAAGUGAUCUUACCUUAAUUUCUGGCUCAUAUAUAUUAAUAAAUUGUCAAGUCAAAAUUAUAUUAUUUCCAUUUCAAAAUUUGAUUCCUAGAAUUCUCCUUAGUGUUGUGCAUCUGGGAUUCUAGAAACACACAUUGGGUGCAUGGAUGCAAAGAGGCAAGAAAUACAUACACAAGCAAAUGCUUACCAAUCCUUUACUUUGAAGUGUAAAUUACAUCCUUUCUCCUGAAAAUCAAGAACAAAAGUAACUAAAUACACCUUGCAGCAUUUUAAUUUUUGUAUAUUUUCAUCAUGUUUUAAUUGUUUUGUUUUAUAGUAUAUUUGUUGCUGGCCGUCGUGGCAGAAUGUAAGCCGCUCUGAGUCCCCUUGGGGAGGAGGGUGAGGUAUAAAUGCAUGUAAUAAAUAAAUAAAAUAAAUAAAUAUACCAGU